rnacentral:sRNA from 1 species
AUAUUCCGAGGCCGGGAUGUGACGCUCCUCUACAGCCAGCUGCAGGUCUUCUUCUCCAGCGUGCUGUGUGCCAAGCCCAGGAGCAGCCGGAACUCUAGCAUUGAGGCCUUCGCUGUCUGUCAGGGCUAUGACCCUCCCGAGGGCUUCAUCCCGGACCUGAGCAAACCCCUGCUGGACCAUUCUUACGACCCAGAUUUCAACCAGCUGGAUGGUCCCACCCGCAUCAUUGUGCCUUUUGUGACCUGUGGGGACCUGAGCUCCUAUGAUUCGGACCGCAGUUACCCACUGGACCUAGAGGGCGGCUCAGAGUACAAGUACACUCCACCCACACAGCCCCCCAUCUCGCCACCAUACCAGGAGGCCUGCACGUUGAAGAGGAAGGGGCAGCUGGCCAAGGAGAUCCGCCCCCAGGACUGCCCCAUCAGCAGAGUGGACACGUUUCCCCAGCCCCUGGCCGCCCCUCAGUGCCACACCCUGCUGGCCCCUGAGGUCUGGAAAUGUGACUCUCAGCCUGCCUUGACCCCUUCCCCGUGUGCCUUUUUCUGACCCAAAUCUCAUGGUUUCUGGGGCCAAAAUUCCCUUUCCUGCCUCCCAAUAGCUAUAAAAAAUUGGUAAAGCCAAGCAUAAUGAAUGGAAAAGUUUCGCCAAAUAUGUGAGUCACUUUUCUUUUUCUUGGGUAGAUGGAAGACAAUGAAAUGAGUUGUUCACCUUAACCCAUUACGCUGGCAAACUGAUACAACUCAGAAACUGCUCAAUGUCAGGAAAACCGGAACUUGUUGAUGAACUUGUUUUCAAAAUAUCAU